CAAGCAGUCUGGGCGUGCCAAGAGGGUCAAGGACUCCGCCGCCAAGAUUCGUCGCAGACACCACAUUGCCGCUCGGCAGGAACCCAUCAUCACCGACAUGAAGUCGAAGGUGAAUCGCACCGGGGCGACCAAGUUCAGCCUUGGCAAGGCCACCACAGAACUAGUCACCGCCAUAGUUGGAUCCUAGCUACCUACUUGAUUAGUUUCCUGGAAACAAAGAUGAGUAUGUAUGUGCAAAUCAGAUGCCCUAAUCAUCGCCAGCUUCAUUUAUCUUGCCUUACUUAUCUAUUUGUGCUCAGCUGCUGUCGGAGCCUUGUCUCGGUACUCUGCACAAUUUGUAUCGUUGUUAUUUCGGUUUGCCUCGUAAGACUAUGUGACUUUGUUAUUUUCCGUUGUCGGGCUUUAUUAAUUUAAACCUGAGUGUUUCUUGUGACUUUCUUCUAAAGUAGGUAUGUGCAAGCAAUUUGGAAAAUAAUUUUUUUUGUGUAUCUUGCAUUUGAUUGGAGAAAGUUAACAUUGCCUGCCAUGCAUCUGCCUUCCUAUUUGGUCAAGAACGCACACAAGUUCAGGUUUCUUGCUUUCUGGUGGAUGCUUGAGAUCAGGUUAAAACAACCACAAAAUGUUUAAUUUGCGAGUUUGUCGGGCGGCAACCUUGUAGAUGUGAUGCUGUUGUUUCAAACUGUGCAAAUGGGCCGGUGUAUCUCGUCUGAUGUGAAACAGUAUUUACUUUAGACAGGACGUAUAGUUCAUCUAUUUUUAGUUUGAGCAACUAACUGUGUACGGGAAUUUUCACCUUGUUUUUGUACGUGAUGAUGAUGGCUCUCAUGAGUAACUCUUUUUGUACGUGAUGAUGAUGAUCAUGUGAUUGAAAAAAAGUUUAACUAAACGACAAUAGAAAUUUGGGAAACUCUUCUUGUAUUACUUUCGGUUCUUUCUUUUUCUCGAGGGUAGUACUCUACGCCGGCGUGCCGGCCGAAAUUUUCGGCCGGUCAGCCCCCAGCCGCACGAUGCGCGCGUCCCAACCACAUGAUUCCACACCUCGCCCCCACAUGUGUGUCUCCUUCCUUACGCCAGUCUCCUUCCUCGCGCCCACCAGCCAUGACUCCACGCUUGCCCUUGAGCCUCCCGUGCUCGUCGGCCGCCGUGCUCCCGUCGCCGUUGAGUGGUCGUGGCUUCCUCCCCGGGCGUUUCCAGCUUCCUUGAUAUGUAGUUCCAGCACUGCCGGUGGUGAGCGCCGCAACUCCGGGAAGCAGCGUCGCUGGCUCUCCGUCGGACUGGUUCCAACAUCGAUCUCUCUCCGCCGGUCCGCAGUUGCAUCAUCCCAAAAAUCAAAAGAGGUCACCCCCCUUGUAGCUCCACCGCACCGUGGUUCCAGCUCGCCUGGUAAGCAGCUGCAACAUCCCAGCCGUAGGGGGUACUCUUGCAGCUCCAUCGGACCGCCGCUGCAGCUCCGCUGGACUGCGGUUCCAGCUCUUGUGGCCAUGGUUGCAACACCCCUUGCCUUGUUGCAAGCACGCCAUGCCGGUGGCUAUGUCGUCAUCCAUCACCGAUGCAGCAAAAUUCAUCGCCGAUAGUAGCAAAACCAACAACGGUUGUAGCAAAAAAGGGUCAUAUGUCGUCUCGCCGUGACUGUUUGUAGCAAAAACCGAUACAGGUUGUAGCACCGAGGCUCGCCGGUUGUAGCAAAAAAUCACCAUGCUUGUAACCUCGUCGUCCGCCGGUUCCAGCAAAUUUGCGCCGAGAGGUUGUAGCACCGAGGCUCAUCGGUUAUACCAAAAAAUCACCAUGGUUGUAACCUCGACGUCUACCGCUUCCAGCAAAUUUGCACCGCGGGAGUGUAUCCCGGCAUGGCUGGUUGCAGCUCCGGUGUGGCCGGUCCGGCGAGGUAGGUAGAGCUCCGAUGCAUGUGGAUCCACGCGGAUCUGGUCAAGGGCGGCCAGAUCGGCUGAUUCCCAUGGCGGCGGUGCCCUGGGAGGCCUCCGGGCGGGGCGACGGUUGACAAUGGCAGCGGGGAGAGAGAAGAGAGAGACGAGGCGACAGGAAGAAGAGAAAAAGGAGGGAGAAUACGCAUGUGGGCGGGGCCCCCAUCCUACGUGUUGCUAGGCGAGUCGUUGAGUGCGUUUGCGCGUGGACGUGAUUGGCCAAAGCUUCGGCCAGCGCUCCGUCGUGAAACAUUUUCCUUUUGACAAACGCAUGCAAAACCUUCGGCACAACAGAUUUUUCCAAUGAUGUAAAUAAAUAAUAGUCAAUCCAUGGUCUUUCAUCUGUUAAAAAAAAUCCAUGGUCUUUCCCAAUAAUAAAUAAAUAAUGUUGUGCAAGACGAUGGUGUCAAUUAGCUAUUUUCUUUUACAGGAAUAGGACUUUAUUCAUUGUAUAAUACUAAUCUCAUUUACAAGUUGUCAUGAAAUAAAGUUUAGGGAUCUGAAUCCCAGAAAGCUGAUGUUCUAGAACUGAAAGUAGCCUUUGCUCGGCUAUCAGCAACAUGAUUAGGGUUAUAGAGUCCUAAGCGAUCUAUGGCGAUUGGAGAAGUCCAAUGUCGGUCCGGUCUUCAUGACUUGCAUGACACAUAUGCCGACUUUCUUCUUCUUGGAGAGCCCAUAAGCCAGGCUAGAGUCUGGGGCCCAAUAUUAGCACGGGCCUUAUGUCGGCCUGAUGGGUUGAGUUACGGUGUCCUGCGGCACCCCUGGGCCAUGGCACCGUCCUUGUUGAAUUUGAUCACGGGCCCAAUGGCGUUGAAGAACAUGUCCAUGAUCGCCUUCAUCCAAGUUGUUGCCUCGACGCUAGCCCUCAUGAUGAUGAGUGUAUCAUCCACGCAUUGACUCAAGGGACACGGGGCGUCGUCGGCUAGGGGCUGUCUGGGUAGUGGAUCCCGCGCAAUGAAGCGAUGGAGAAUGUCUGCAACAAGAAGGGAGAGGUAGGGCAGGAUCGUCUGUAUUGUUGCAGGCCCCUCUUGCAACCAAUCCAUUUGUAAUUCAACAUGUUAACAGAGCUGCCAAUUUCCUAGCCCAAUUGUGUGCGGAGCAUGCUUGCUCGCUUCAGCCGAGUGAGGGUUUACUUAACUUAACUCCCUUCUUGGUCACUAGCCUCAUGGGUAUGAUGACUCCAUGACCAUCUUUAAUAAAUGCUCUCAAUUUCCACAACAAAAAAGCAGACAAAAAAAUAGAUGAGCCGAAAUACAAUCUAUCAUCUGAGUUAUACAUUAUCCGAGGUUUACACCUCGUUCUAGUUGUGAAACUUUGGGGCUGAUACUGGAGUCGCUUGAUCGCACUUGCCAAUCACGACAUUCAAUAACAUAGAAGAACUAAUUGCACAAUCAUGAUUAGUAGACCAAUGAACAUAAUAUGUAGGGAGAGAAACUUGGGAGCUCUCGGUCAUUAAUCUUUGGUGGAUUUGUGUACAAGAUCAAGUGAGCUACUCGAUACCCUUGUGUUUUUAUUUAUUUAUCAAAUACUCCCAAAAGGAGAGUACAUAUAGCCAUCCAUUUCUUAGCCCAUAAGAAACCUUUCUUCAUAAGUUUGCUACACUCUUUGGUCACCAAGUUACUUCAUCUCUCAAAGCUUAUGAAGAAGGAACUUGCAUAGCAAGUUUCCUUAGUAGUGAAGCAAAGUUGGAUGAUAAGGUUUCUUAGUAGUGAAACUUGCUUGUUGGGUAAGCUUGUUUAGUGGAGAAGUAAACUUGUAUGGUAAGCUAACUUAGCCAAAAAAACUUUUAUGGUCAAUUUCAUUGCUGAAAAAGAUUGGUCCUCGAUCUUUAUCUAGACAAAACGUGUCCAGAUACAUCUGUAUCUAGACAAAUCUAAAACAACCCUUUUAGAACGAACGAAGUAUGAACUAAAUGUUUGUAUUACGGUAUUAACCGCAUAAUUACGUGUUAUUUCAGACAGUUCCAAAUAUAUUUCGCCGUUUCUCGCAAAAAUAAAAUAAAAUUCGCGAUACUAAAAAAAAUAAUUCGCCAACUGUCACGAUCACAUUGACAGCCGUGCGUCCGUGUUAUGUGUGAACAGGUCGCGCGUGUGGGUUUCUCUCAGCCGAUGUACAAGUAGUUAAGUAGAGCGUGAGACAGUAGGUGGAGCAAAUCCGAUCCCCGCUUCUUCAGUUCGUUCCCUAGCCCCAAUUUCCCCCCUGAACCUCCAGAUCCAGGAGUGUGAGAACGAGCUGCAGCACCAAAACACCGCGCCGCCGCGUGCGCGAUCUCGAAACGAGAUCGACCGACGAUGGAAUCGGAGCCGGCCGCGCUACCCGACGACGCCCUCGCGGAGGUCCUCCGGCGUCUCGCGCCGCACGUCCUGGCCGUGGCCCGGCGGGUCUGCACGGCGUGGCGCGACGCCGUCGACGACCGCCUGUGCGGCAGCCUGCUUCCGCGCUCGGUGCGCGGCAUCUUCAUCAACUUCCCGGGGGAUUACUUCUCGGAGUUCUUCUCCCGCACCUCGACCGGCCCGGCGAUCGACGGAGGGAUUGAUUUCCUGCCCUGCCUGUGCAUGGGCGUCAAGGUCAAGGACCACUGCGAAGGCCUUUGGCUUUGCCGCGAGUCCAGCGACCGCGCACUGCCGCGCCCACGCGAGUACGUCGUCAACCCGGCCACCCGUCGGUGGGCGAGUUUGCCCAAACGCCCCCGGCCGCACAUGCCAGGAUUCAACCACACUGCCCACCUCGCGUUCGAGCCCGCCGUGUCGCCGCACUACCAGGUCUUUCUGAUCCCACGCGUGCCAUGGCGACUGCCAGCCGACGGGGAAUCCGACGACGACGAUGACAACCCGUCGCUCGAGUCGGAGUGGCCUCCCGCGUCAUACCCCAUCCAUGUAUUCUCGUCGGUGACUCAGCGAUGGGACGAGACGACCUUCCUUCGGGAAGGGGAGGCUGCAGGGAUCGUCGCCAACAUGGUGUCGUAUCCGUGGUAUGAUGAGUGUCGUUAUUAUGGCGUCUACUGGCAAAGAACGCUCUACAUCCAAACCAAGAAUUGCUAUCUUACCAGGUAUCAACGUCCUCAUCGGCCAUCAUUCUCCUUUAAAAAAUGUAUACCACCAUGGUUCACUCAUGUGUAUAUUAAUAAUCUGCAUUAUCCGAUUUGUUCAUGUUUGCAGAAUGUCCUUGUCGGAUCACACGUACAGAGUAAUUAAACUACCAGGUGCCAAUGAAUUGAUAGGAUAUCCCAACAACCACCAUCUCGGGAGAUCAUCGCGAGGGGUGUAUUGUGCAAUACUUGAUGUCUUGAAUCGACUUCAGGUUUGGUAUCUCAGUGAAUCUUGCGGUCGAAUAGAAUGGGUGUUAAAACAUCAUACCCGUCUUAAGACCUUUGAAUAUGUCGACUAUGCUCAACAACUGGGCAGACAAUGAAUCUUGCAAAAGGUUAACGUCCGUAAGGGGGACCCUGAGCACAAAGCCCCAGUGGACGAGAAACAUGACUACGACUGGAACUCUAACGAGGAUAAUGUUCUUGACACUGAAGACGUCGUUGAAGAGCCUGAAGACGUCGUUGAAGAGUCUGUAGACGUCGUUGAAGAGGAAAACUACAGACAUUAUUUUUUCCUUGGAUUUCAUCCUUAUAAAGAGGUUGUCUUCUUGAAUUCAUCAGGAUCUAGAGGUCUAGCCUAUGACUGGAUCAACUCAAAAUUUCAGGACUUGGGCAAUUCAUGGACAUGGGAUUAUGGAAGACCAUAUGGAAUACCAUAUGGAAAGACAGACACAUCUUUCCCAUACACGCCAUGCUGGAUAAGCGAGUUUCCUGGCAACGAAUUAGAAUCUCUACUUGAAGAUGAGAAGCUAUCUAGGAGAAAGUUGGAACAGGAAGCUCAACUUAAAGAGGAAUCCAACUUUACCUACAUGGGUGAGUACGAGCUGCGCAAGCACUCUGGGCACACCAAGAGGGUCAAGGACUCCGCCGCCAAGCUUCAACGCAGACGCCGCAUCGCGGCUCGGUAGCAACCCAUCAUCACCGACAUGAAGUCCCAGGCAAUUCUCACAGGGGCAACCAAGUUCAGCCUUGGCAAGGCCACCACAGAACUAGUCACUGCCGUAGUUGGAUCCUAACUACCUACUUGAUUAGUUUCCUGGAAACAAAGAUGAGUAGGUAUGUGCAAAUCAGAUGCCCUAAUCGUCGCCAGCUUCAUUUAUCUUGCCUUACUUAUCUAUUAUCUAUUUGUGCUCAACUGUUGUCGGAGCCUUGUCUCAAUACUCUGCACAGUUUGUAUCGUUGUUAUUUCGGUUUGCCUUGUAAGACUAUGUGACUUUGUUAUUUUCCGUUAUCGGGCUUUAUUAAUUUAAACCCGAGUGUUUCUUGUGACUUUCUUCUAAAGUAGGUAUGUGCAAGCAAUUGGGAAAAUCAACUUGAAGACGACUCGUGUCUGAGGCCCUGUGUUGUAACUUGUUGGGUCAAUGGAAAACAAUGUUUUAUACCCUUUUUGUGUAUCUUGUAUUUGAUUGGAGAAAGCUAACAUUGCCUGCCAUGCAUCU
rnacentral:lncRNA from 1 species